AACGAACGCUGGCGGCAGGCCUAUCACAUGAAAUUUGAACGAGAUCUUCGGUACUAGUGGCGCUCGGGUGCGUAACGCGAGGGAAUCUGUCCUUUGUUUCGGAACGACAGUCGGAUAGGACUGCUAAAACCGGAAAAUGGCGAAAGUCAAAAGAUUAAACGGGCGAGGAUGAGCCGGCGUAGGAUUAGCUCGUUGGUGUGGUAAAGGGGCACCAAGGCGACGAUCCUUAGAUGGUCUAAGAGGAUGAUCAGCGACACUGGGACAGAGACACGGCCCAGACUCCUACGGGAGGCAGCAGUGGGGAAUAUUGGACAAUGGGGGAAAGCCUGAUGCAGCAAUGCCGCGUGAGUGAUGAAGGCCUUAGGGUUGUAAAGCUCUUUUACCCGGGAUGAUAAUGACAGUACCGGGAGAAUAAGCUCCGGCUAACUCCGUGCCAGCCGCCGCGGUAA
rnacentral:rRNA from 1 species